rnacentral:ncRNA from 21 species
ACAAAACCCGCGCUGUGUAUGCAGCGCGGGUUUUUCUUAUGCGUUAUCCUGGAACUUUGGCGAUGGGGCCGGGAGGGCCAAGCGUAUCAUCGAUCUGUCGGUCGGUAUGUAAGUGACGCAAGCUGUAUGGUAAGUGACGCAAGCUGAAAGAAGAGCGCUGAACAGCAGAAAAAAUACCGAUAGAAACAAUCUGCGUCCGAUGACCCCUAUCGAAUUUAAAAUAUCAAACAUUUGGAUUUAAUCCCUGAGUGAAGAUUUCAGUCGUAAAGUAAAAGGACGGUCCAGGCACUUGCGCUUUUUUGCCUGCAAAGAAUUCCGGUUUGCCGGUUUUCCCGGCGUCCAGUUUUGGGUAUGAGAGCGCAUCCCGAAAAGUGUGAAACGGUUUUCGGAUAAGAUGCGCGUCAAAAAAUAGUUGGAGCGCCGAUCUGAUUCAUU